CUGCUGCUGCUGGUUUUUAUACUCACUCCCUUACUGGUAGUAUAAAAUCAUCCUGAUUUCCCAUUAUUGGAAAAAGUUUAGCAAAUGCUCCAUAGCACAGGAUCCCUUUACCUCAACAAUUGGUGGCUAUGUACUAGCUCUUCCACUACAAGGACAGAAAUUGCUUAACCACCUUAACCGAGAGACUGCACAAUCACAGAUGCAGAAUUACAAACUGCCUAACAAUGGGAACCUAAUCUAAGAGGAAUGUUCAAGGCUGGGAAUAGCCUCCUUGAAAGAGUAAAGGGAGAUUUGUCUGACAACUACAGGAAACCUUUAAUUUUUGGACAUAUUUUUUCUAAUUUUUUUUUCCAAUAUUGAUUUAAUGGUAAUAGCCCCUAUUUGUGUUACAGCUAAAAAGAAAAAUGAAAUAAAUGUAGGUUGUAAUGUUAUUUUCACUAACCUACAGACUUAUCAAUUAUAUCCUUACAAUCAUUUCUAUCAUCAACCAAGAUUCCACAAUUUUCCAAGCAUUACCUUCCCCUAGGAAACUGGUAGAUAAGUCCACUGGCUUUGCCUAGGACACCAAAUCUCAUUCAGUACUCAAAAGUUCCAGAUUUCAGCCUGCUGAUUAUAACCAACAUUUGCCAGUAGCUAAUCUCAGCACUACAGCAGAAUGGCUUUGUUUGGACCAUACUCAAGUUAUCUUUUUUUUUUCAAAAUAACAACCAGGGAGUUAACCAAUGCCAAAUCACAUGUACCCAAGUCUUAGCAUGCAUAACUAUAGCCAUCAGUUACCUGGGCAUGUUGGCAGCCUCAGUAUUUUUGGAGCUGUACUUACCUUCUUACUUUGUUUUGGUCCA
rnacentral:lncRNA from 10 species